rnacentral:lncRNA from 1 species
AACUAAUUUAUUUUAUUGACCACAUAAAAAGUAGGUGUUGAAUUUGGUCAAACGCCUUUAUAGCAUCUAUGAAAAUGAUCUAUUUUUUCUUUGGGUAUAUUCACAUGAUCGGGGAGGAGGAUCAGGAAGAUCUCUUUAGUAAAAGGUCUGGUUGGACUGGGACAUAGGUCUUUCCUGAGCAAGAACUCUAAAGCCCACUUGUUUCCUUACUAGAAGAUGAAGGUUAGAAAUGUUCUUUCUUAUUUAAAACCAUGGCUUGCAAUGCUGCUUGGCCCUCAAGUCAAGCAGAAGCACAGCCCACAUACCACACAACACAGGGUUUCCUCACAGCUCAUCUUCCAAGUGAGAAGUGAAAGGAACAUCGUGGGAAACCGCAAGAGUCUGUAAGCAGAAGUCCAGAGAACCGCGCUUACCCUCAGCAGUGCACGGUGGUGAUGAACAACAUGCCAAGCAGAAGAGAAAGGGGCCAGGACCUUGGACGGGGGCUGAAUUCAGAAUCAGCGCACAGGAGAAGUGAAGCUUGAGACUUCGAGAAUGAGCCGAAGGGAGACCUUUCUCACUGUCAAGGUGGUGAAGCACAGGCCACAGAGGGGAGGUGUUUGACCUGGGGGUGCCCAUCACAUGCUGUGCCUAGAAUCGAAGUCCAGGCUCACACCAGACCUCCAAGGCCAGGUGAGUACUCCAGGGGAAGGGAGGGUGCAGGGGAUGAGAACAGGGAAAACCAUGAGGUUUUGGAGAGGGAACUUUGAAUUAGCAAUUUAUAAAAAUGUAGACUAGGCCGGGCAUGCUGGCUCAUGCCUGUAAUCCCAGCAU